rnacentral:rRNA from 1 species
GAGUUUUAAAGGGCUGCGGUAAUUUGACCGUGCAAAGGUAGCAUAAUCAGUAGUCUUUUAAUUGAAGGCUGGAAUGAACGGUUGGAUGAGAGAUUAGCUGUCUCUAUUACAGUUUAUAAUUUGACUUUUAAGUGAAAAGGCUUAAAUUAAUUAAAGGGACGAUAAGACCCUAUAAAACUUAAUACAUUUUURAKUYUAUCUUUAAAUUUUUUCUUAAAAUUGUAAAUUUGAAURUGUAUUUUGUUGGGGAGACAUCGAUAAAAUUAGUAACUGUCUGAAUAAAAAUUAUAAUUAUAAUUAGURCAUGAUCCUACUGUGUGGAUUAUAAGAAUAAGUUACUUUAGGGAUAACAGCGUAAUUUUYUCUGAGAGUUCUUAUCGAAGAGAGUAGUUGCGACCUCGAUGUUGAAUUAAAAUUUCUUUUGGGUGUAGCCGCUCAAUAAGUAGGUCU